GAGCAAGUGGAAACCCACACCUGGGAGCAGACCGGGCCUCCUGGCAGUGGGUAGUCCUGAGGCUGAAGGGGGCCGGCCCCAGGUGCCUCCGGACGCGCCCUGAGCCCACCCCGGACACCUGGCCCGCAGCCCCCACUGAAGGGCCAGGUCCCAGUGCUGGCGAAGCGGGUGCUGGGGCUCCCUCCUCCCACCAGCCAGGUCUCCGCCCCUGUUCCAGACUUCGACUUCGGUUUCCCAGCAGCGUUCUCACUGCAGGUAUUUGGGAGUCUGAAGCGCUUCCAAUGCCCAGCUGGGAUCCCCUGCAACAGCCCACCUGCAGGAAGACCUCCCACCCUGUCUCCCGCUGUUGCUCAGGGGAUGUGCGCAACAUCAGCACCAUCUCUUCAGCUCUCAGUGCUGCCCUUGCAGUUCUUCCUAAAUACUUCGGUUUGGAAAGGGAAAGAACAGAGAGCAGUCAGGCCAAGUGCAGGAAGACUCCGUGAACCCCUCCCUUAGUCGGGCGCUGGCCUCAAGGUCUCGUGAACCGAUCAUGACCAUCAGAAACAAACCCAACUGACCACGGCCCUCACGUGUGAAAAUGCAGCUCCUCUUUGGGGUUUAUGAGAGAAGCUCUGUUCGUGGGGUGUGCUUGGAGCUCUUCAUCCAGGGCGUCAGUCAGAGCCGGCUGGUGGCCGAGCCCGUAGGGCGGAGGGGCGGAGGCGUCCACCCAGCAGCUCCACACUCGGCUGUGCCCAGGUGAGCUGGAGAGGGCCCUGCCCAGGGACAGCCAGCUCUGUGGACGGAAAGCUGGGCAGGGGGAGGAAGGAGAGGCUGGGGGAGGGGAGAGUGCAGAAGGGCAGGAGAUAAGAGAGGAGGCUAAAUUAAUUUUGGAAACCAUUAAAUCUUUGAAAAGCGAGUGUGUUUUCAGCAGGGACAGUGAAUCACUGUGAUUUGCAGAAACAGGCACAAAGCAAUUAGCCAUCUGGACGCGGUGGCUUCCAGCCCCCACCCCAGCGGAAACUUCAAGCCAGCGGAAGGCCGGUCGUUACCCGGCCCAGGCCCAGCACUGCAGACUCCACAGAUGACUGCUCCUCCAGCCCACUGCGCGGCCAGAGGCUUGGGACAGAGGGGAACUUGGCAACAGACACAGAAAAAUGGGCAGGAAAAGCAACACCAGCUACAGGGAGCCAGCAGCAUUUCCUUCUUCCUUGGAGCUUCCCUUAAUCCAUCAUGACUGAGUGAGCAGUUCACUCAUUCGAUAAGCGUUUCUUAAUCACCUGCUAUCUCCCAGGCCUCGUGCUAAUACAUAAAUUAUGCCAUUUAGUCCUGUGACCUACAUAUGAGGAGGUCCACCCACAGUGCAACUCCAAGGAGACCCAUCGAUGCUAUGGUAUCGGAUGUGAAGAGUAUUCCCUGGAGUAAUAAAGCAGAACUGUCCCCCCCAAAAGAGAGUGUCUCCACUUUUAUAAAAAUAUCAAUGAAAAAAUAAAAGCCGAAGUGGAGGUAAAUUUGUCCAAGAUAAGCGGCAGGCCUGAGAACGGAGCUCUGAGUUCUGGGGCCCCUCUUGUACGAUCCAGGUUUACAAAUUUCUCUCUAUCUGGCCCAGCAGCUGUGACAGGAAAGGGAUGGAUACACUGUAGCGUGCCGUAGACAGCCGAAGUAUCAGAAAGCAAUUACCCCAGCUUCCUCCAACUGCUGUGAUCCUGAGGCGCCGCCCCUCUACCCAUUUCUAGGAACUGCUGGGGAGUCUCCAACUGACCCACCCAGGAUAAGGGUCAGCAAGGGAGGAGGAUCCAGGAAGCCAGGGGGGACUGGGCUGGGUUUUCUGGCAUCUACAGACAACAGUUCUUGGCGCUGGGCUCCAUCCUUUUCCACUGUGUGGCGCACACCUCUUCCGGUGAAGAGAAGGAAACCAGGAAGGGAGGACAUCACCCGGAUGGACCUGAGCUCGGCUCCCCUCAGCCCCGUGUCCUCUCACCUGCCUGAGCUCCCUGUGAGCCCCUCCCACCCCUUCCUCUCCAGGCUUCCGUAAAGUGUCUGUCCACAGCCUUGGCCAGGAGCCAUGUAUUCCAGCACAGGACUUUGUGGUGGCCUAUUUCUGCAGUCAUGGUGAACCUUUUAGAGGCCGCGUGCCCAAACUACAACCCCAGAUCCACUUAUUUAUUGCAAAGUGCCAACAGUGAAGUUAAAAUCUGAGCACUGAAGUUUUACAUUAGAAAAAGCAACUGUUAUCGGAUGCUGGACUGCUGGGGUGACUUGGCUGGCAUGCCGUGUGCCGAGAGGGUUCUGCGUGCCCGCUUCAGCACGUGUGCCACAGGUUCGACACCACUGGCCUAGAAGGCCAAGGGAUUUCAUUUGCUGUCUGAGUUUCCAGCCCAUCUAACUGCUGCCAGGAACGCCAGGUCUCCCACAAGGAAAGUAGAGAGGGGACACAGAGUUGGGCCAUGGAGACAGAUGGCGUGGGGAGCUCCCUGCUCUCCCUGUGAGCUUGGGAGGUGUUACCCUCUCUCCCUUCCUGUGACUGCAGAGAAUGAGGCUGAGGUUUGCUGCCUCCAGGGGGCGCUGAGGACUGAAUAGGCUCACAGGUAGGUGCCCUUGAACCAGUGCACAGUUUAAAUGAUAGGAGGGUUGGACUCUGUGGCCAGGCAGGGUUGAGGAAGUGGGAAAUGCAAGCUCAGGGUGGCCGGGUCCACCAGAAGUCUAGAUUUUUAUGUAAACUUUUCCAAUUUUCGAAAGCUUGUGGGAACAGAUCAAAACGUCUGCCAGAGGUCUGCUGAGGUCGGGCGCGAACUCCGAUCCCCAUGACGCCCCCAGUCCCGGGGCGCACGCAAUCCUUUCCUUUGUCCGGUUUUCGCCUUGCUGGGGUCCCUGUCACCCUCCUUCAAAGGCAGCCGCGGUCACCUCGGCUCUGGGCAGAGCAGGCUGGGAGCAGGACUUCCCCCCGGGAGCCCCUCCAGGCCCUGUCCCCACAAAGCCCAGGCCCAGGAAGGACCCGGGGAGCAGGGAGCGCCGCGGCCCAGACUGGCGGGCUCUUGGGGACCGCGCUCGGGAAGCUCCGCGCCUGUGAGGCUUGGGCUGGGAGCCCAGCCCGCCUGGCUCUCGCUCCUGUGCCGGGCUGGCAUCGGCUCGGCGGCCACUCGGGCGUCCGCGGAGGGCUCCUGCCCCGGCUUCGCGAACCUCGACGCCCCUCGGGGGACCUUUCCCAGACCUCAGGCGGCCCCCACCGCACAGUCAGAAAGGCAGGCUGGAGAGGAGCAGCCGCUAGAAACAGCGCGUGAUCGGCGUCAGGGAUGGGGCCUAGGUUGCAAAUAAUUGGCAAAAUUUGAGUAUGAAAUGUAUAACAGUAUC